ACACUUGUGAUGGCAUUUAGGGCACACAUGGGUAAUCCAGGGUUAUCUCCCCAUCUCAUGAUUCUUAAUCACAUCUGCAAAGACUCUUUUUCCAAAUAAGAUACAUCUACGGGUCCCAUAUAUUAGGAUCUGGUAUCUUUGGGUCAACCUCCUUAGUCUUCUCAGGCAGCCAUAAAAAAAAAAUAACAAUCACUGUGAAGGUUACACAACAGAAAUGUAUUUUCUGAAGGCUGGAA
rnacentral:lncRNA from 1 species